AGUGAACGCUGGCGGCGUGCCUAAUACAUGCAAGUCGAACGGAGUGGCGCACGGGUGAGUAAUAUAUAGCUAACUUGCCCAUUACUAAGGGACAACAGUUGGAAAAGACUGCUAAUACCUUAUAGUAAUGGAUAGGGCUAUAUCGUAUCAGCUAGGUGGUAAGGUAACGGCUUACCAAGGCUAUUACGCGUAACUGGUCUGAGAGGAUGAUCAGUCACACUUGCAACGAGACACCGGUCCGGCUUCCACCGGAGGGCGCAGUAGGGGAUUUUGCUCAAGUGGGGAAACCCCUGAGCCGCCACGGCGCGGUGAGGAUUACCCUUUUCGGGGCCGUAACCUCUUUUCCUUGGAAAGCGGUACCCAAGGAAUAAGCACCGGCUAACUCCGUGCCAGCAGCCGCGGUAAUAC
rnacentral:rRNA from 1 species